CCCAUUUACAGCUAUAGUUAUUUCACGGAAUCACGCUCCCCGCAUCGCCAAAGCUGCCUCUUUGAGAUACAUCUGUUGGCUUGUUUAGUUUUUGUUCAUCAUGGGAAGUUUCGAACAAUUUAAGGGAACUGGUCAAGUUAAUGAUCAAACCAUGGGUGAGGCUGGGACUAUUAAUCCCAGAGCUCAAUGGAAUCAAAUGGGGUACGAAGGGAAGACUGCGGCGAUUCACGAAGAAAUGAAAAGGAUGAACCGGCUUCCUGCGACCAGUUCUUAUGUUACACAUCACAUGCGAGUUCUUAAUAAAAUUCUUCAACUGUUGUCCAUUCAGAGAACUGCUUCACAAGAAGAGGAGUUGGAUUUGCUCUUUUCUGGGAUGUCUUUAUGAAUGGCUUGUCGUCACAAUGGUUGAUUAACAUUAUGUCAAAGUGUUGAACAAGGAUUUGUCGGGCUAAAACCUCUAUCUGAAUGUCUUGCACUGUGUAAAAGGUAUCUCAUAGUCUAUUGU